rnacentral:rRNA from 1 species
AGGCAUUGGUGGGAUACUACCCUAAUUGUAUUGGAUUUCUAACCCGCAGCACUUAUCGUGCUGGGAGACAGUGUCAGGCGGGCAGUUUGACUGGGGCGGUCGCCUCCUAAAGAGUAACGGAGGCGCUCAAAGGUUCCCUCAGAAUGGUUGGAAAUCAUUCAUAGAGUGUAAAGGCAUAAGGGAGCUUGACUGCGAGACCUACAAGUCGAGCAGGGUCGAAAGACGGACUUAGUGAUCCGGUGGUUCCGCAUGGAAGGGCCAUCGCUCAACGGAUAAAAGCUACCCCGGGGAUAACAGGCUUAUCUCCCCCAAGAGUUCACAUCGACGGGGAGGUUUGGCACCUCGAUGUCGGCUCAUCGCAUCCUGGGGCUGUAGUCGGUCCCAAGGGUUGGGCUGUUCGCCCAUUAAAGCGGUACGCGAGCUGGGUUCAGAACGUCGUGAGACAGUUCGGUCCCUAUCCGUCGUGGGCGUAGGAAAUUUGAGAGGAGCUGUCCUUAGUACGAGAGGACCGGGAUGGACAUACCUCUGGUGUACCAGUUGUCGUGCCAACGGCAUAGCUGGGUAGCUAUGUAUGGACGGGAUAAGUGCUGAAAGCAUCUAAGCAUGAAGCCCCCCUCGAGAUGAGAUUUCCCAACUUCGGUUAUAAGAUCCCUCAAAGAUGAUGAGGUGAAUAGGUUCGAGGUGGAAGCGUAGCGAUACGUGGAG